AUGUAGGGCAAUCUGUCUUUAAGUAGGGAUAAAAUACUCUAAAAGAAAUGAACCGUAGAUAGUUUUCCCUUCAAGCGUCUUAU
rnacentral:pre_miRNA from 1 species